GACGAGCGCUGGCGGCGUGCCUAAUACAUGCAAGUCGAACGAGAGCGACCGGUGCUUGCACUGGUCAAUCUAGUGGCGAACGGGUGAGUAACACGUGGGUAACCUGCCCAUCAGAGGGGGAUAACAUCCGGAAACGGAUGCUAAAACCGCAUAGGUCUUCGAGCCGCAUGGCUUGAAGAGGAAAAGAGGCGCAAGCUUCUGCUGAUGGAUGGACCCGCGGUGCAUUAGCUAGUUGGUGAGGUAACGGCUCACCAAGGCCGUGAUGCAUAGCCGACCUGAGAGGGUGAUCGGCCACAUUGGGACUGAGACACGGCCCAAACUCCUACGGGAGGCAGCAGUAGGGAAUCUUCCGCAAUGGACGCAGGUCUGUCGGAGCAACGCCGCGUGAGUGAAGAAGGUUUUCGGAUCGUAAAACUCUGUUGUUAGAGAAGAACAAGUGCUAGAGUAACUGUUAGCGCCUUGACGGUAUCUAACCAGAAAGCCACGGCUAACUACGUGCCAGCAGCCGCGGUAAUACGUAGGUGGCAAGCGUUGUCCGGAUUUAUUGGGCGUAAAGCGAGCGCAGGCGGUUCCUUAAGUCUGAUGUGAAAGCCCCCGGCUCAACCGGGGAGGGUCAUUGGAAACUGGGGAACUUGAGUGCAGAAGAGGAGAGUGGAAUUCCAUGUGUAGCGGUGAAAUGCGUAGAUAUAUGGAGGAACACCAGUGGCGAAGGCGACUCUCUGGUCUGUAACUGACGCUGAGGCUCGAAAGCGUGGGUAGCAAACAGG
rnacentral:rRNA from 1 species